CCAGCAGCUGCGGUAAUUCCAGCUCCAAUAGCGUAUAUUAAAGUUGUUGCAGUUAAAAAGCUCGUAGUUGGAUUUGUGGCGUACGGUGUGUUCCGGGCACUUGUUGUCUGAGUAACCUGCUGUUGCCAUCCUUGGGUGGAACCUGUGUGGCAUUAGGUUGUCGUGCAGGGGAUGCCCAUCAUUUACUGUGAAAAAAUUAGAGUGUUCAAAGCAGGCUUAUGCCGUUGAAUAUAUUAGCAUGGAAUAAUGAGAUAGGACUUUUUUGCUAUUUUGUUGGUUUGCGCAAAGAGGUAAUGAUUAAUAGGGACAGUUGGGGGUAUUCGUAUUCCAUUGUCAGAGGUGAAAUUCUUGGAUUUUUGGAAGACGAACUACUGCGAAAGCAUUUACCAAGGAUGUUUUCAUUAAUCAAGAACGAAAGU
rnacentral:rRNA from 1 species